GGGCGUGUGGCUCAGUUGGUAGAGCGUUCGCUUAGCAUAUUGAAAAGAAAUGAAGCUUCUCGAUAAGAGAUGUGGAGUUCGAAACUGAUAUGCGAAAGGUCCUGGGUUCGAUUCCCAGCUCGUCCA